UUACGGUCGUAUCACACUGAAACACCGGUUCUCGUAUGAUCACUAAAGUUCAGCAACGCCUGAGCCUCGUCAGUACCUAGAUGGGUGACCGCUUGGGAAUA